rnacentral:rRNA from 1 species
UGAGGAAUUUUGCGCAAUGGGAGCAAUCCUGACGCAGCAACGCCGCGUGGGUGAUGAAGGCCUUCGGGUCGUAAAGCCCUGUCAGGUGGGAAGAAUGUCCCGGAAUUGAACAGGUUUCGGGAGUGACGGUACCACCAGAGGAAGCACCGGCUAACUCCGUGCCAGCCGCCGCGGUCAUACGGAGGGUGCAAGCGUUAUUCGGAAUUACUGGGCGUAAAGCGCGUGUAGGCGGUCCUGCAAGUCGGAUGUGAAAGCCCCGGGCUUAACCCGGGAAGUGCAUUGGAAACUGCAGGUCUUGAGUACUGGAGAGGAUGGGGGAAUUCCCGGUGUAGAGGUGAAAGUCGUAGAGAUCGGGAGGAAUAUCAGUGGCGAAGGCGCCCAUCUGGACGGUAACUGACGCUGAGACGCGAAAGCGUGGGGAGCAAACA